UACGAAGGGGGCUAGCGUUGCUCGGAAUCACUGGGCGUAAAGGGUGCGUAGGCGGGUCUUUAAGUCAGGGGUGAAAUCCUGGAGCUCAACUCCAGAACUGCCUUUGAUACUGAAGAUCUUGAGUCCGGGAGAGGUGAGUGGAACUGCGAGUGUAGAGGUGAAAUUCGUAGAUGUUCGCAAGAACACCAGUGGCGAAGGCGGCUCACUGGCCCGGUACUGACGCUGAGGCACGAAAGCGUGGGGAGCAAACAGG
rnacentral:rRNA from 1 species